AUUGAACGCUGGCGGCAGGCCUAACACAUGCAAGUCGAACGAGUGGCGGACGGGUGAGUAAUGUCUGGGAAACUGCCUGAUGGAGGGGGAUAACUACUGGAAACGGUAGCUAAUACCGCAUACCAUCAGAUGUGCCCCGAUGGGAUUCGCUAGUAGGUGUGUGAACGGCUCACCUAGGCGACGAGCCCUAGCUAGUCUGAGAGGAUGACCAUCCACACUGGAACUGAGACACGGUCCAGACUCCUACGGGAGGCAGCAGUGGGGAGUAUUGCACAAUUGGCGCAAGCCUGAGGCAGACAUCCCGCGUGUGGGAAGAAGGCAUUCGGGUUGUAAAGCACUUUCAGCGGGGAGGCGUUACCCGCAGAAGAAGCACCGGCGAACUCCGUGCCAGCAGCCGCGGUAAUUC
rnacentral:rRNA from 1 species